rnacentral:rRNA from 1 species
GACAGAGGGGGCAAGCGUUGCUCGGAAUCACUGGGCGUAAAGGGCGCGUAGGCGGGAUGGCAAGUCAGUCGUGAAAUCUCUCGGCUCAACCGAGAAACGUCGGCUGAUACUGCCGUUCUUGAGGGAUGCAGAGGAGACUGGAAUUCCCGGUGUAGCGGUGAAAUGUGUAGAGAUCGGGAGGGACACCGGUGGCGAAGGCGGGUCUCUGGGCAUUUCCUGACGCUGAGGCGCGAAAGCGUGGGGAGCAAACGGG